rnacentral:tRNA from 1 species
GUCCCUGUGGCGCAGUGGAAAGCGCGUUGGACUUCUAAUCCAAAGGUCCCGGGUUCGACCCCCCGGCAGGGGAUG